AUUGAACGCUGGCGGCAUGCCUUACACAUGCAAGUCGAACGGCAGCACGGGGGCAACCCUGGUGGCGAGUGGCGAACGGGUGAGUAACAUAUCGGAACAUACCCUAGAGUGGGGGAUAACGUAGCGAAAGUUACGCUAAUACCGCAUACGAUCUAAGGAUGAAAGUGGGGGAUCUUCGGACCUCAUGCUCAUGGAGUGGCCGAUAUCUGAUUAGCUAGUUGGUGAGGUAAAGGCUCACCAAGGCGACGAUCAGUAGCUGGUUUGAGAGAACGACCAGCCACACUGGAACUGAGACACGGUCCAGACUCCUACGGGAGGCAGCAGUGGGGAAUUUUGGACAAAUGGGGGCGAACCCCUGAUCCAGCAAUGCCGCGUGAGUGAAGAAGGCCUCGG
rnacentral:rRNA from 1 species